GGUGCAUUCACCUAGGCGCUCGUCGUGGCCCUCUGCCCUUUCGUAGGCUCGCCAGCGUAGCAGGAAAGCUUGAAGAUCUUUUGAAAUUCAGUCGGUGCUUCCUCAUCUCUUUGCGCACCCCAGAGCUCACACACACCAGCCGAAUUGCGUUAGCAACUCCGAGAGCAACAUCUUCUCCAUCGCCAUUCUCGGCGCCGCCGUGGUGAGCGUCUCCGUGGCCAGGUCGACUAGGUGAGCUCGUCGGAACCGUUCCUCGCCGCCAAAGCACCCCACCAUAGGCCGCCGCAACGUGGACAACCAACUCGGGCCUUCCUCCGGCCGUCCCCGUCACUGUUCCUGGUUCUAGAAGAGCCAGUGGAUGAGGAUCCCGGUGUUCAGCAGAUUGAAGCUGUUGAGCAGGAGCUCGUUGAAGG